UGCUGAGGUUUUCCUCGGUAAUUAACUGCAGCCGGUUUUGGACUUCCUCGGCAGUUAACUGUCGAAGGACAU
rnacentral:pre_miRNA from 1 species